GAGCACUGGAAUACUGUGAUGUGGCGGUUAGGUUGGAUAGGCAGACAAAGGAGUUGAGAACUCUGAAAGCUCACUGGACAAAACCUCCUACAAGGUGACCUCUGCCUGACAAGACCGAAUGCCAACCUUCGUUAGUGCUGUUCUCAACCCUGGCUAGAGAAGCCUCAUUCUUCAGCGGGCAGCAAAGCAGAGACUCAUAAAUGGCCAAAAGGCUGAGAUUAUGUGCCUGUUGAGUGCUCAGCCCUAAAUGGGACACAUAUCAACCUCCUGACACAGGGCUCAGGGGACACGGAAAGAGGGGUGGAAAGAUGUUAAGAGCCAGAAGAUAUGGAGCAGUGCCAGAAGCGCUUUCUUUUGGACUGCACACGGCCGCUGCCCUGAGGACCCACUGCAUCUAUGGUUACCUGGACAAGAUCUACACAAGGCCAAGCCAGCAAGAUGAGGCAGCAUUGCAAAGGCAGCACUAACUGGACUCAAAAGGUUUAAAACCAUCAUGAGAAGCAAGGGCCUGAAAGUGGGAGGAGGAGGAGUGCGUAGGAGUGUGUCCAGGAGUGACGGGAGAACUGGAGACAGUUCUUGGAAGCUGAAUAAUAGACAACAAAAGACAAGCAAAGAAGAUGCCCUUAGUCCAUACAAGUCACCCAGUCACCCAAGCGGGAGAAUUACAAAUUCAGCCAUCUCCGCUUAGUUCUCAGACGACGAUCUCUAAAAAGCAAUAAAGCACCAGAAAUACAGGUAAAAACUGGCUGAGCCAGUCCUUGGCUCAACCUUUAACUCUUGAUCCCCGCCCCUACCUCGAAGUACUGAGAUUACAAUGAUGCACUUGUCCAACUGUGUUGUUCUUGAUUUCAAGAAAUCCUCCUGGUAAGAUGGCUCAGCUAUGGAAUCUAAUAACCGAGUUCAAGUCCCACCUCCACUCACGCUUUCUGGUAUUCACAUAUAGAGAUA